rnacentral:tRNA from 1 species
GGAUAUGUGGCUGAGUGGUUUAUAGCACCUGACUUGAAAUCAGGCGUCUCGUAUUUGCGAGACCAGGGGUUCAAAUCCCUUUAUGUCCA